rnacentral:rRNA from 1 species
GAUGAACGCUAGCUACAGGCUUAACACAUGCAAGUCGAGGGGCAGCAUGGACAUAGCUUGCUAUGUUUGAUGGCGACCGGCGCACGGGUGCGUAACACGUAUCCAAUCUGCCCGUUACUCGGGGAUAGCCCUCUGAAAGGAAGAUUAAUACCCGAUGGCAUGUAUUUCCGGCAUCGGAGAUACAUUAAAGAUUUAUCGGUAACGGAUGAGGAUGCGUACGAUUAGCUUGUUGGCGGGGUAACGGCCCACCAAGGCAACGAUCGCUAGGGGUUCUGAGAGGAAGGUCCCCCACACUGGAACUGAGACACGGUCCAGACUCCUACGGGAGGCAGCAGUGAGGAAUAUUGGUCAAUGGUCGGAAGACUGAACCAGCCAAGUAGCGUGAAGGAUGACUGCCCUACGGGUUGUAAACUUCUUUUGUUUGGGAAUAAAAGACGCUACGUGUAGCGUUCCGCAUGUACCUUACGAAUAAGCAUCGGCUAAUUCCGUGCCAGCAGCCGCGGUAAUAC